GUCAGCAGGACGAGAGAGACACAUGGAUGAGGAGGAGGGUGGCGAUGAGGAUCCCGAUGCUCCUCCUGCUCCCGAUGCGCCUCUCCGCCUCACCUCCGCCUCCUCCACCUCCGCCUCGCAUCGCUGGCCUCAGCCGCCGCCGACCAGCGCAGCAGGAGGCCUCUAACCUUGUGAAUCAUUACAAAGCCAUGCCCUGAGGUGGAGAACUGCUAGAUUGGGAUGAAGCAUGUGCAGGAAAUGAGGAAUGAUCGGGAGCCUGAACUGCAGUUGGACACAUAAGUGAAAGAAUGGAUUCCUGAAGGGAUAUAUUGGAGACGCAUGAACAGAAAAAGAGGAGACCAUCUGGAAGUCUCCUUCAUCUCAUCCAAAGUGGGAGCAGAAAAUGGAGAGUCUUGUGGUACCAGAAGAUAGUAGUAUGGAGAUCGGGGACUCGAUACUGAGAGAGGCUCAGUACCCAUGAGGAGCAGGGACACCAGAUACACGAAGGAGUUCUCGAUAAUGGAUGAACUGAACUCCUGUGAUACGAAGUAGGGGACCGGUAGUGAUGCUGUGGCCACAGUUGCCGAAGCCAGUGGUACCGUUGAUGGUGGACGUACUGAAGUAGACACAGGGUAUCUGAUGCAGUUGCUUGCUCAGUGCUGGGUACAAAUAUCUGGGCUGAACUCGACAGUGCCAGUCCCAAGUGUCUAGGCUUGCCUUCCUUGCUGGUAGAAGGUACCAAGACCCUAUCAGAGCUGUGUGUCUCCUUCGUGCUCUGGGACUUCAUUGCUCCACUCAUACUGGAGGAGGAGUCCUUCAACUUAACAGUACUGAGUUGAGAGGUCAAGGCUUAGGCGACUGUAGAUCUAACUGGGGACCUGGAUUUUUUCAGAGCUGAUUCCUUAAGAUGAGAGUCCAUGCUCUUCCUUUUUGGAAGCAUUCCCUGAAGCCUCCAAAGUCUUCCCUUUCUUAGGGGAAGCCUGCACUGAGGUAGAAGGGGCACUGGAUCUGUCUGGAGACAGAUGUACAGGGGAAGGGGGAGGUGUCUCCUGACCUGACUCAGAAGCUGGCCUAAGGUAGUGUUCCAUCAUUAGCAGUCUGAAUUUAAUCUCCCUGGUUUUCCUUCCUUGACAGAACAAGGAGCAAUGGUCUCAAGUUGCAGUGGGGGAGGUUUAGGUUGGAUAU